rnacentral:rRNA from 1 species
CAAUAGCGUAUAUUAAAGUUGUUGCAGUUAAAAAGCUUGUAGUUGGAUUUCUGGCAGGAGCGACCGGUCAUGCACUAUGUGCGUGAACUUGUGUUGUCUCUGGCCAUCCUUGGGGAGAUCCUGUUUGGCAUUAAGUUGUCGGGCAGGGGAUACCCAUCGUUUACUGUGAAAAAUUAGAGUGUUUAAAGCAGGCUUAUGCCGUUGAAUAUAUUAGCAUGGAAUAAUAAUCUAGGACUUCGGUUCUAUUUUGUUGGUUUCUAGUACUGAAGUAAUGAUUGAUAGGGAUAGUUGGGGGUGGCUAGUAUUGGCCGGCCAGAGGUGAAAUUCUUGGAUUCGGUCAAGACUAACUUAUGCGAAAGCAUUCACCAAGGAUGUCUUCUUUAAUCAAGAACGAAAGUUGGGGGAUCGAAGACGAUCAGAUACCAU